ACCAAAUUCACACGAAAUCAGCUUGUUCUCCGCUCAACCUUAUCUUCCUUCUCUGCCGAGCAGUGAUAAGCCCCCGUUCUGGGUUUGGUUCCGUGUUGUUCAGUGGCAGUCUCGACGUAUUCGAGUGUUCAACUAACUUUGUAAACCACGGAUAAGCCACGUUCAAUAUUAGUUUAAUUGACAUUUAAAUAUAUUCUUUAGUAGUUAUUUAUAUCAAAUCAAGUACUUAUUUUCAUUUAAAAUUUGUUAUGUGUAUUAGAAACACGGUGUGAAAUGUGUUAAGCACUUUCAUCUCAUGGGGAAAGAGGAAGGAGGAUAGAAAGGUGUAAAUCCAAGUCUGGAUUGGGUGAGGUUGGGUGCUCAGUGACCUCAACCAAUGACCGUGCAAAGGGGACGGCCAUGUCGCAAGGAUCUCACCACCAGGAAACACCCCCCGUCGCACCACCACCUCCAGCGCCAUGCAUUCCUCCCAUCAAAAAUUUACUUCUUCUAAAGUACGACCCCAUCAAGAUAUUGAGUCGACCUUCCCUAUUGGGAAGUUUGGGAGGACAUACUGCCACCAACCAAAUCAAGGCUAACCAUAACGUUGCGAAUCAACGGAUCGAGCCGGUGCCAAUUUUUUCGUCGUUGGGGGCGGCGAAUCCUGUCAUUAAGAAAAAGUUUCCUCCUCCGACAUGUACCAUCACAUCCGCGUCACAAGUUUCUGUAACCGACAAGGAUUCGAGCUUGAUGCCUCCGCCAAGAGCUCCAUCAGCACCGAGGGCGAAGCAGGCACGUUCGAUUAGUGUGGAAAGAGAACCACAACCAUCCACUUCGAAAAAGUGUAUGCAAGCAUAUUUGACAGCUUCAACAUCAUCCUCAUCUUCGUCGUCAUCCACAUAUGCAGCAGCAGCAGGAACGAACAAUAAUAUCACUAUCAACAACAGACGAAAACGUGGGUUUCCUUACAUGUAUUCUAAACUCGAUUUGGUGACGAAAAAGAAAAGGAAAGUUGUCAAGUAUGUAAACAAAAGAAGGAAAACGUGUUCCGCAAAGGCAUUGAGACUCGCAACGAUAUCAUUUGCGCAAAAGAGUUCGGCGUCGGCUGAAAGACUUAAAAAUAUGAAAAUGAAGUUGAAGAAAUAUACAAGAAAUUUAAGUACAAGGUAUCAAAGCAAAAAAGGCAAACCGAAAAUUAAGGUUAAAGUCAAAGGUCCAGGAAAAAAAGUGAAAGCGAAAGUGAAGAAAACUAGCGGACAACCAGAACAAAAAAGUCAACUGACCAUUGCUCAACGGGAGCAUAUGGCCGCAAUGACUCUUGCAAGAGGCUUCCGUGUUCCCGCGGACUUUUAUGCAAAACUGCUACAAAAAUUUAAGCAGGCUAACGAUAAGCAAAAAGGACAGAAAGUUAUAAAGAAAUCGGUUGGUAAGAAGAAGAAGAAGGUUGCUGGACGAGGUGGUGAUAAAAAGAAGAAGUUGCCAUUGCCAUUAAAUAUUAAAUGGUUUAGGAGAAAGGGCUCUUCACGAGGUAGGGGAGUCCCUUUCAAAAUACCUGAAAAUCAUCUGGUCAACCACACUAUCGAGUUGCUUCGCCACAAACGGGAUUUGCAAACUCGAGUAGAGCUUAUCGAUGAGGAGUCGGUGGUUUACAAGAUGGACGAGAUACCUAAGAUAAAGGAGCCGAUUCCCAAAGGCCAGCUAUUGAUUCCAAACAUUCCAAUCACUGGGGGGCAAGCGAAGGAGAUUAUUCAAAAUCGACUGCCGAUUUUACUCGCUCAUGGAGGAUAUACUCAUGUAAAUGAACGGCCACUUGAAGUCUUGGCCGAUGUAAUGGAAAAUUUCUACAUGAAAAUGGCUCAUAGAUUAAAACAAGUUCGAGAAAUGGAGAUGGCUGGUUGUGAACAAGAGUUUCCUGAUCCGCUGGAACGGGUUAUGGUGGAAAUGAAUCUUGGUGGAGUUCGUGGAGUAGAAGAGUAUUACACUUCUAGAGUUAUGGACUACCGGAAUCGCGUUGAAGAACAAUGCGCCCAUCUUCGAAAGCUAUACGCACAUAAGAUAAGAUUAAAGGUAGGAAUGGUUAUGUCUUCUUCAACGGGUAUUUGUUCUUCGUCUAGUUCAACUUCCACGUCGUCACACCCUAUCUCACCUGGAAACAGUGCGAUAAUGGAAAUUCUGUCUGGACUCGAGGGUCCGAAGGGUUCCUCAUACCUUUUCGACCGGGUGCAGAUUUCAAGACAGAAAAAUCGAAACAUGCCCCCGCCCCCAUCGUCCAAGUUCCCAUCCCACCUGCAACCCCAGGCCCAACUCUUAAAACGGUCCGCAGAUCCAAAAAUAGAAAACCACGUAACGAAGAUAAAUCAACAAAUACUUCACCUCCCAAAUUCAAAAUCAUUUUCAUCAAGUCAGAACCAGGUACAUCACCAUCCACAAAUGCAUCAGCAAAUACUUCACCUCCCAAAGUCACCAAGUCAAAACCAACUACAUCAUCAUCCACAAAUGCCACCUCCAAGUCACCAUCCAAACACUCUUCAAACUCCAAACAUAAAUCUGCCAGUGGUUCCUCUGCAGGGACAUCCAAACCUUCUUCCUCAACAACUUCAUCAUCCCACCGCCACCACAAAAGCAAAUCUUCAAAAACAAAUUCAGCAUCAACCUCCACAGCAGCAGCAGCAGCAGCAACAACAACAACAGCAACAACAACUGCGACAACAUCAAAAGGACACGCUUCAAAAAACGGUCCCACUCCUACCAUCACAAAUAACAACAACAAUAACUGUACCACCAACAAUAAGUCCAGCACCAGUGGUAACAAAAAUAGGCCACCAGCCCAACCUCUCAUCCCAAAAAAUCAACUCCCAACCAGCUCCCUUCGCAAGUAGUAUGGUCAGUAUUAAUUUAAACAACAAUGUAGACCUCGUCCCUAUGACUUCACCAAGUUCUUCGAGAACACCGACAUUAAAUGUAAACAAGAGCAUACUUACUUGUGGCAGUGGCGACUCUAAAACAAAAUUGAAAGAAGCUUUAAGUCAAAGAAAUUUGUUGAGGUUAAAUUUUGAACAAGUACCUUCCUCAUGCGAUUCUACGGUUCUACUCUCUUCAUCUUCGCCAUCCUUGUCCUCCAACAAUAGUCCUUCGAGCAAAGCUAAUAAUACGACAUCUUCAUCUCUUAGUCAGUCUACUCGGUUAAAAUUAUAAUCAUUACCUUCCAUAGUUUCAAAAUUGUGUAGAUACGCAAUGGGUGUAUGACCAUAGAUGAAUUUUAUUUUACAGUGACUAGCACGACGAACUAUAUUCAGUUGUUUGAGACAAGUUUUGCCAUCCUGUCGUUUCUUAACUACCUCGUUCGUACUUUAAACUAGAAUCAAUAUUUACACAUAAUUAUAUUGAAUGAGGAAUGUACGUAACAAGUUUUCUCCUUUGCCCUCAAAAAUAUUCACUUGAUUAUACAGGUUCAUGACUAGUUGUACGAAUCUGACCAUGUUUUUAUAUUAUUUAAUUUAAUCUCAUACUUUGACUCAUUAUCGUCAUUUUUAUUAAUUCUGAUAUAAUUGUCACAAAUAUUGAAAUGUGUUAGGAAUAUUUCGCACUGUGAGGAAUCUACCUUUUGUAUUACAUAUAUCCAACCAAGGCGUUCUUCCUGUUUGACUGGCGAAUCGAGACUAAUUGUAAGACGCUUGAAUUAAUAAUUAUGACACCGUUAUUAUAAUAAACUCGUUACAAUGUUACAUAAAUGUAUAACCCGCAGUCGAACCUCUUGUGUUUAUUUUUAAAAAUUACUUAAAACACACCGAAUUUUGAUUAUAUACAGUACGGUGAAAUAUAAAAAAUUACUUAAUUAUAUUAUAGCUAUCUAAUUAAAUUGAUAAAACAUUAUUUGCAGAUAUACUACAAUACAUAUAUAUCAGACUUUCGACAUUAUAUAGUAAUCAAUCAUGUUCAUUUCUUUUUUUAGUUUUUUUGUAUUUACUUUCCCUACAUUAAGAAAUAAUAUUUGCUUUGCUGCCGUACAUUUUGAUUGAAUCAACUCAUCAAGAUUUACUAAAAUGAACUAAUUAUUGACGCAAUCAAUUCAAGUUUGUGCAUAAAAAUGGCAAUUCGAUGAAGCCAAAGCAGAGAUUUGUAGAUUUACUUAAAUUGGGUGAUACUAUGCUACAUUACUUGCCGUUGUUGUUUAAUUCAUGUGUUGAUUCAGUAAUAUUAAUUAAUAUGCGAUUGAAUUAUUAAGUUACAAUUUAUUAUUAUUGGUUAUUUAGGAAAGAAGCAAAAAUUAUGUUGCUACACAAACAAACACGUAACAUAACGUAAUUACGCUACAAAAGCUGAUGAUUGUUGAAGUAAUAAAUACUAUGGAAUCUCAACAC